CCACCAACUCAAUUCCUGAGGUAUUGAACCAACAAGUCAAGGCUUUAUCGAGGACUGGAGCCAAGUACUCCUCCUGGAACCGAAACAAAGUGAUUAAGUUAUUGGUGGAAUAGAAAAGGCACACAGAGUUUUGCCGAAAAUAGAUGUGAGAACCCUUUCCACGUGCAAAGAGAAGUAAAAUGCAGAUGUUCUGAGCUGAAUUAGACUGCUCCGGAAUUGUUACAUGGCAACUAUAUUCAAGAAAAAUUAGGUGUACAUGGAGACUUACCGG